CACAUCAGGCAAGGUUGGGAGGAUGGAAGAAAGACUGAAGAAACAUUGAUGAUGUUAGCAAAAUAGCUCCCUUGGACUUCCAGAGGGCAGACUAUGGCCUGCUCAGGAGCAUCUUUGGCAGAGUCCAUUGGGAGGCAGUGCUGAAGAGAACAGGAUUCCGGGAAGGAUGGACAUUCUCCAACAAAGCGAUCUUAAAUGUACAGGAGCAGUUUGUCCUCACAUGCUGGAAGACAAGCAGGUUUCCUAGACUUGAAUACAAAAACCAAUACACAAGCAGCUGCUGCUUUCUCUUUCUACUGAGGUUUCUCAUCUUCCAAGGAGAAAAUCCUGGGCAAAGGGAUUUUUCAGAAAAAUGUGGAUGCCACAGACACACUGCAUGUGCUUCCCUGCUUCAUCCUGCACCUGCCUCCUUGAAAGAAAACAAGACAUCAGAUACUUAUUCAAAUAAUGCAGUAGCUGAUCAGCAGAGUAUCUACACAAUGGUUUUCACAAAACUGAAUCCACCCUGGUGAACUGAGCCAAUCACUUUAUUGCAAAAUUGCCUAAAACUCAGGAUGGUGCAGGAUCACCAGAGGGCGCCAAUGCAGAUCUUCCCAGACGUGAUGCUUCCCAGAGGGGUGGAACAUCUACAUCUCCCAAGUCCAUGACCAUGUGCAGACAAAAAAAGGGCAAUUUCUGAAAACUUUUGUGGCAAAAACAGUCGACUUUUUGGCAAAAUACUGCAUCUUCAGCCAGGAGAAGUUGGCGAUGCACAAAAGGGCUUUUGAAGCAGUCAGUACCCACUUUAUGGC